UUUCCUCUUUUUAUAAUCUGCACAUUAUUUUAACUUCCUUAACAUUGAACAUAUUUCUAGAAAAUUACUUUUAUCCUGAGAUAAUCACACAAUACUAGUCCCUUCUUCAAGAUACAUUAGUCAAAUAGUCAGAUCAUAGUCUCAGAGAACAAAUAAGACGUAUGGUCACUACUUACAUCACAUAAUCAUCAUUCAACCAUGAUUUUACAAGAUGAUAUUUAUGAUUAAACUCUUGGGUCUGACCCAUGCUGCACUUUCUCAAUAGCUCCUUUUUCAAGAUGCCGAGACGAUCGAACGCAUGAGACGGCCGACAAAUCGAAGGCAUGUCAACAACUCCGGCAACUUGCAUCCAAUAUACGACGGCGACGCCCAAACAAUCGAAGGCGCAAAGAAACGCCCACCAAAUUGAAGACACGGCAUCAACACCAUCAACCUCAGGUAAUAUCCACAUGCAAUUCCUCACAUGUGUGCCAGCAUUUUGAUCUCAACUCAACCUUUCUUCUAAUAUUCUAUGUCAAAACUCUUCUGAUACUAAACUAUAAAGCAUGUUUUUAAUGCAUCCUGACACUACCAUGACACCUAUUGAACAAUUAUUGAUUUAUAGUGCCAUCCAGACAAAUGUACUGUAUGUGACACCUUAUUAGUCUCUUCAUCAUAUCUCCAAAUGCACUUUCAUGUCUGGAAUGACAAACAUUAUUAAGUACUCCCUCUGUAACUUAAUAUAAGACGUUUUUUGAUAGUGUCAAAAAACGUCUCAUUAAGUUAUGGAGGGAGUACAACAUAAAUCAUAGUACAUGAUACUCCCUCUGUCUCAAAAUUCUCGUCUUAGAUUUGUCUAAAUACGGAUGUACCUAGUUAUGUUUUAGUGUUAGAUACAUCCGUAUCUAGACAAAUGUAUGACAAGAAUUUUGGGACGGAGGGAGUACUAUAUUAAGGAAACUCUAUACGUCACUAACAAAAUCACAUUUGUAGAGAUGACUGUCCAGCAUACGUCAGCCCCAGCAGCUCAUCAUACAAAAAGAAAGGAAGAACAACCUCUAAACUCAAGGAGCACAAAGCGGACAAGGACUGCAGAGGGAAGAAGAAAUACGAACACAGAGGCUCCUAAACGAUUAAGAAAGGAUAGUGCUGAAGAAGAUAAGGAAUUGAAGUGUGCAAGAAGCGGAAGCAACAAAAACAACAUCAAAAUCAAUGUUGGAGACAACAACAGAACCACAGCCUCGACAAAAGCUAAUAGAAAGGCAUGGAACUUCGGAAGGCCAACAUACAAAUGCCAGUAUUGCAAAGCAUUGCUAUGGUGUGAAGAAAGAUUAAAUUCAAACAAAGGAACUAAGACACCCUCUUUUGGAAUAUGCUGCAAACAGGGAAAAAUCGACCUGCCACCACUAAGAGAGCCUCCACCAUACCUCAGAAAUCUCUUAAGAAGUGAAGGACAGGAUUCAGUAAACUUCAAAGAAAAUAUAAGGUCAUACAACUCAAUGUUUUCAUUCACAUCCAUGGGAGGAGUUGUGGACAAGGAAAUAAACACUCGCAAAGGACCUUAUGUUUUUCGUUUGCAUGGACAGAAUUACCACCAUAUCGGAACUCUUUUACCUGAAGGUACAAACAAACCUCGGUUUGCACAGCUGUACAUCUAUAAUACCGAAAAUGAGGUGGCAAACAGGAUAAGUGCAUCAAGAUGCAAUGAUAAUAAAUCAACAGUGGACCCCAACAUUGUCAAAGAAUUGCAAAUAAUGCUCGACGACAACAACAUCCUCGCAAAAACAUUCAGAAUGGCAAGAGAUAGAUUCCAAGAAGGAGACUACCAUGAUUACACACUUCGGAUACUAGGAAAAAGGAACGGAACACACAACCUUCCAUCCGCAUCUGAAGUUGCAGCAUUGGUAGUAAGAGAUCCAACUGGAGAGAGUGAAGGACGUGACAUUGUUGUUGAGUACAAAAAUAUGGUGCCACAAAGGAUAUCAGAGAUCCACCCGAAAUUCAUGUCCAUGCAAUAUCCGUUAUUGUUCCCAUAUGGAGAAGAUGGUUUUAAACUUGAGAUACCGUACAAGAAAACAAAAGGAGCUAAAAACAGCAGGAAAUACGUAACGUUGUUGGACUACUAUGCAUUCUACCUACAGCAACGUCCAGACCAAGGAAUGUUAUUGCUCAAGUCUGGGCAUCUGUCACUGCAAUUUUGGGUGGAUGUAUACACAUGUAUCGAGCAAAAUAGACUAAACUGGAUCCGACACAAUCAAGGAAAGCUAAGAACUGAAAUUUACAAUGGAUUGCAGGAUGCAAUUAAGCGAGGGGACACAAGAACAGAGCAGGUUGGAAAGAGGAUAAUUGUGCCUUCAUCUUUUACAGGUGGUAGAAGGAACAAGGCACAAUACUUGCAAGAUGCAUUCGCAAUAUGUCGUUGGGCUGGAUACCCAGACCUGUUUAUAACAUUCACAUGCAAUGCAAAGUGGCCUGAGAUCCAAUACAUGCUAGAUGAAGCGGGAGGUGACCAAAAGCCAGCCGAUCGGCCAGAUAUUUUGGACAGAGUAUUUAUGAUAAAACUAAAGGAGCUAAUGAGAGACAUAAAAGAGAAGAAAUACUUUGGAGAAACACUUGCAAGUAAGUCCCAUCGACUAUCAAUAUUUACUCUUGCAUGUGUCAUCUUAUAGUCAGACAGAUUCUUACCCUUUAGUAAGAUGCAUUUCAAUUUUACCUAAAGUUAACAAACUAUUAUUAACCAACUGCAGUUAUCUACCAAUAGAAUUCCAGAGGAGAGGACUCCCGCAUGCCCACAUACUAAUAUUUUUUAAGGACAAAGACAAGUACCCAGAACCAUCGCAAAUCGAUAAAAUAAUAAGCGCUGAGAUCCCAAACAAGGACGAGGAUCCUGAGGCAUUUGAAGCUGUCGAGAACUUCAUGAUGCAUGGCCCAUGUGGAGAGGCUAAGCAAAACUCGCCAUGCAUGGUGGACCAUAGAUGCAGCAAGCAUUUCCAAAAAGAUACAAUGUUAGUACUACCAUCGAUGAGGACGGGUUUCCAGUAUAUAAAAGGAAGGACGACGGAAGGCAAAUCAAAAAGGGAGUGGUCAUGCUCGACAACAGAUUUGUUGUGCCAUACAACCGAAAUCUUCUGGUCAAAUUUCAAGCUCACAUAAAUGUCGAAUGGUGCAAUAGGUCUAGAUCAAUCAAGUACCUAUUUAAGUAUAUCGACAGAGACAACGAUCAAGUUACAACCUUGCUCAAGGAAAGGCUCGCAGCAAACGAAACUGACGAGAUCAAGAAAUACCUAGAGAUGAGAUACAUAUCAACAUCAGAAGCAUGCUGGAGGAUAUUCCAGUUUGAUCUUCACUAUCGUGAUCCAGCUGUUGAGAGGCUACCUUUCCAUCUUGAAAAUGAGCAGCAAGUGAUUUUUCCUGACUCGACUGAUCUUGACAAGAUAGUUACAAGAGAAGGAUCUAAAAGUACCAAGUUCACUCAAUGGAUGGAGGUAAAGAAUUAACGUAUGCAGAAUUCCCUACAAAAUUUGUAUGGAAACGUUAAACAAAAUGUUGGCAGAAGCGAAAAAGGGACUAUGCAAUUGGAAGAAUCUACUAUGCACAUCCCGCAAGUGGUGAGCGACAUUAUCUGAGGAUGCUUCUAAACACGAAGAAAGGAUGCACAUCAUUUGAGGACAUUAGGACCAUUGACGGAGUCACUCACCCAACGUACAAAUCAGCAUGCCAAGCCCUUGGAUUUCUGGAUGAUGACACUGAGUGGAUUGACUGUAUCAAUGAAGCAUCAAGUUGGCCAUCUGGAACACAACUGCGUCAGUUAUUCACCACCAUAUUGUCCCAUUGCGAAGUCACAAACCCAAAGAUAUUGUGGGAUUCAACAUGGGAGGCAUUGUGUGAAGAUAUGCAAUGCAAAAGAAGGAUUAUUCUAAACUUUCCAACGCUUCAGCUCACCAACACACAGAAACAAACGUAUGGUCUGAUUGAGAUAGAAAAACUGAUGAGGCAAGUAGGAAAGUCAUUAAAGGAAUAUACAGAGAUAGAACUACCAAAUGCUGCAGAGCUAGAUGAACUUGGGAACAGACUAAUAAACGAAGAGGUCAACUACGACAUGGAGAAACUCAAGGAUGAGCACAAAACCAUACUAAACAAUCUUAACCAAGACCAGAAGAAAGCCUUUGAUAAAAUAAUGGAAUCCGUCAACAAAGGGCUAGGAAAGCAGAUAUUUGUCGAAGGCUACAGUGGCACAGGAAAAACCUAUCUAUGGAAAGCAAUAACGACGAAGCUAAGAUCAGAGGGGAAGAUAGUGCUUGCGGUGGCAUCAUGUGGCAUUGCAGCGUUGCUUCUCCAAGGUGGAAGGACAGCACACCAAGGUUCCGCAUUCCACUUAAUAUAACUGAAGAAUCAACGUGUGAAAUAAAACAAGGCUCACAUUUGGCUGAACUACUAAAGAAGACCUCACUUAUAUUGUGGGACGAAGCUCCUAUGGCAAACAAACACUGCUUCGAGGCACUAGACAAAAGCCUUAGAGAUAUUCUCAGAUUCACUAACGAGAACAGCGACGAAAAGCCAUUUGGUGGAAUGACAAUUAUACUAGGAGGCGACUUCAGACAAAUCCUACCAGUUAUAACCAAAGGAAGGAGAGAGCAAAUAGUUAAUGCUACAAUCAAAAGGUCAUAUCUGUGGAAACACUUUGAAAUAUUUGAGUUGACACAAAACAUGCGGCUGAAGUGUUUGUCUGAUGAUCCAAUACAAAAGCAAAAAGUCGCUGAAUUUGCAGAGUGGAUACUACAAAUUGGCGAUGGGAAAACAACAUCAGAUGAAGGAGAGGAUUGGAUAAAAAUACCAAAGGACCUACUGCUACAGAAAGGAGAAAAUCGUAAAGAACUAAUCGUCGAAAGCAUAUAUCCAAACUUGCUGCAAAAAUACCGUGAGCGGGAUUACCUAGAAGAAAGAGCAAUACUCUGUCCAAGAAAUGAUACAGUCAAGGAGAUAAACGACCACAUCAUGAGCCAAAUACAAGGUGAUGAGGUGACAUACCUAAGCCUGGACACCAUGUGCAAGGCAACGACAAACACCAACAUCAUGAUGAACAUGCAGCCUACUGAAUUCCUAAACACCUUGACGUUCCCUGGAAUCCCAGACCAUGAGCUAAAACUGAAAGUGGGUUUGCCGGUCAUGCUCCUACGCAACAUCAACCAAGCAGCAGGUUUAUGCAAUGGUACAAGAAUGACAAUAACACAACUUGGAAACAAAUACAUUGAGACACGAAUAAUCACAGGAACACACGUCGGUGACAAGGUAUACGUACCUCGAAUAAUCAUGUCACCCAGCGACUCAAAAUGGCCAUUCGUGCUGAAAAGAAAGCAAUAUCCAUUAUCAGUGUGCUUCGCAAUGACGGUAAACAAGAGCCAAGGUCAGUCCUUAAACAAGAUAGGAAUAUAUUUGCCUAAGCAAGUGUUCUGCCACGGACAACUGUAUGUGGCAUUAUCAAGAGUGACAAACAAGGAAGGACUGAAGGUAUUGAUCGAUGACAAAGAGUGUCCAACUGAAGAUGUCGCAAAAAAUAUUGUUUAUAAAGAGAUAUUCUAAUUUAUAGUGCAGUUGAUCAAGACAACCUUCCCGCAAAAAAAAGACAACCUAACCACAUGUUAUCAACAAAAUAUGUACUUGGUGGACGUGUUCAUUUUACGUAGCUAAUCAACAUAUGUAUGUUUGAUCUCUCCACACAGUAUCACUUUUUUGUUUAUUAGUUAUUUAUCCCUGAAUAAUUUCUAUCUCUUUUCUAUCGUCUUUAAAAAAAACUGAAGCAUAAAUAUUUUUAGGUAGCUAACAUGCAGUACUAUAUUUGAUCGUUCUGGAGAAAGUUCACCAAUGAAUUCCACCUAAUUAGCGAUUACUA
rnacentral:lncRNA from 1 species